CCCUGACUGCUUAGAAAAGAGAUCUUGUGUUGUCCCAGACCCUACUGCUUUGCCCCUUCCUACAAGAUAUCCUAUUUAGACUUCUCCCCUUGCCAGUUUUGUGGUCACUACCAUGAUGACCAACCUUGUCGAUGCCUGAACCACUUCUAUUACAAGUGUAAGAGUACACAACAUUUGCUGAAGGAUUUCCCAAAGAGGCCCAAGGACCUUGCCAGACCUGUUGCCUAGGGAUGUGUUUACCAU
rnacentral:lncRNA from 1 species